AUGGAGUGUAACCUAAAGAUUCUAUUCUGGAAUGUGCGUGGUUUGAACAAUGGCGCCAAACGCACUGCUGUCCGUAGCGUGAUCACCGCUGCUUCGCCCUCUAUCGUGUGCCUACAAGAGACCAAACUUCCGGCUGUCACCGAUUCCCUUGUUCUGGACACUCUCGGCCCUCUCUACGAGGAUUUCUACUCCCUCUCCGCAAUCGGCACCCGCGGGGGCAUGAUCCUCGCAUGGCAUAGACCCGACGUCUCCAUCUCGAACCGCCUUAUCGGAGAUCACCAUAUCACGGCUCUCGUCACCCCGUUGGAUGGCAGUGGCCACUGGUGGCUUACCGGGGUGUAUGGCCCGCAGGAGGAUGCGGCCAAGCUCGACUUCCUCAAUGACCUACGCGAGGUGUGUGAAUCCCUCAUCGGUCCGUGGCUUCUUGGGGGAGACUUCAACAUGAUUGUUGCGCCUGACGAGAAGAACAACCCGCAUGUCAAUCACCAUUGCAUGAACAGAUUCCGGCGGUUCAUCGCUAACGAGGAGCUUCGUGACCUUUACCUCCACGGACGCCGAUAUACUUGGUCUAGCGAGCGUGACGCUCCGACCCUAGUCCGCAUUGAUCGCGUGCUGUGCACCUCCGGUUGGGAGAUCGCUCAUCCCAACUGCUUGCUCUAG
rnacentral:rRNA from 1 species